CUAAGGGAUGGUGGCUAGCCAGCCUUGGGGGGGUAAUUAGUGACUCCUAGCUUUCCUCCUUCUUAGAUGUGAUCUAUCAGAAUAUGACAGAGGGCCAGCCCUCGAGUGGUAGGAAGGUGUACGUCGCCUUUCAGAUUUGGCUGUCUAGGAGCAGCUUGGUCUUCAAUGCCGAGAUUGUGCCUGCACAUCAGAUGCUGGAGAGAGUCUACUAUUUUAUUGAAAAGUACAGUCAUUUUGAUGCGGCUGGCCAAUCCCUUGUCGCCUCGAGUUCUUGGGACUCUCUUAUUAUGUAUGCA
rnacentral:lncRNA from 1 species